rnacentral:rRNA from 1 species
GGGCACUCUAGCGAGACUGCCCGGUAAUAAACCGGAGGAAGGUGGGGAUGACGUCAAAUCAUCAUGCCCCUUAUGACCUGGGCUACACACGUGCUACAAUGGUUGGUACAACGAGUUGCGAGUCGGUGACGGCGAGCUAAUCUCUUAAAGCCAAUCUCAGUUCGGAUUGUAGGCUGCAACUCGCCUACAUGAAGUCGGAAUCGCUAGUAAUCGCGGAUCAGCACGCCGCGGUGAAUACGUUCCCGGGCCUU